GAUGAACGCUGGCGGCGUGCCUAAUACAUGCAAGUCGAGCGAACAGACGAGGAGCUUGCUCCUCUGACGUUAGCGGCGGACGUGUGAGUAACACGUGGAUAACCUACCUAUAAGACUGGGAUAACUUCGGGAAACCGGAGCUAAUACCGGAUAAUAUAUUGAACCGCAUGGUUCAAUAGUGAAAGACGGUUUUGCUGUCACUUAUAGAUGGAUCCGCGCCGCAUUAGCUAGUUGGUAAGGUAACGGCUUACCAAGGCAAUGAUGCGUAGCCGACCUGAGAGGGUGAUCGGCCACACUGGAACUGAGACACGGUCCAGACUCCUACGGGAGGCAGCAGUAGGGAAUCUUCCGCAAUGGGCGAAAGCCUGACGGAGCAACGCCGCGUGAGUGAUGAAGGUCUUCGGAUCGUAAAACUCUGUUAUUAGGGAAGAACAAAUGUGUAAGUAACUAUGCACGUCUUGACGGUACCUAAUCAGAAAGCCACGGCUAACUACGUG
rnacentral:rRNA from 1 species